GGAGCAGGAAUGCAUCCUUAAAGAAGAAAUGAAAAUCCUGGUGAUUCUCCUGAGCACAAUGUCAGCAUUGCUGUGGCCAAGCUCACAUAUCUCCUGUAAUAGGAAGGUUAUAUCAGCUCCCAGAAAAGGUGUAGACCCUGAAGUUGUUGGUACUAGUACUUAAUCCACUGAACAGCUAAACUCUGUCUGGGGCUGACCUGGACAAAGGAGCGCAAAUCAAUUAAUGCAGGGAAGCUGAACAGCAGGAACUUCUGCAGAGGUUCUUCCUGACUCAGCCAUUUUCAGUGGAGAUUUCUCAUGGGGAAGCUUUCUACAUGAUCCUUAUUGCAUUGGAUGGAGCUGGGACCAGACUUUCUGAACAGUGAAAACCAGAAGAGCUUUGAAGCAAAUAUAUGGGGAUGGAAAUAUUUUUCUCCUCUCUUUGUGACUUCUACAU